ensembl:miRNA
UGCCCAUUCAUCCCCGGGCGGGGAUUGGUGCCAUUACUUGCAUUAGAUAAAAGGUAUUGCACUUGUCCCGGCCUGUGGAAGAAAAGCGGCUU